UUAGGUUACCAAAAACCAGUCGCGCUAGGCUUGUCUUGGAAAGGCUUCAAUUGCCGGCCACCACCUUUUGGGUGACAUGCAUGAAUUAUGAGCUGCACUGUGUCCGCACCUACAUCAUUUCAUGAAGCCUGGGAGAUGCGUCCCCACCCUCUCCGUGCAGAGCUCAGCAGCAACUGUGGAGGAACCCCGGGCUGUAAAGCAGGGAGAGCUGAGGAGUUUGUGGAAUUUUCUGGAGAGUUAUACCUGGGCUGGGUACUGACCCAUUCAACGAGCUCACUGAUUUCUCUAAAAGGGACCGAGGUGACAUGCAAAUCAUGUGUAAGUGUCUUGGAAGGGAAUUCGGAGAAUAACAUCUGUACCCUAAAUUUAACCAAAAUGCUAAUUCCUAGACACACGUCUAAGGGUCCAAUUCAUCACCUUGUCUCCUCUUCCCUGUCACCAAAACUCGCACUAGGGAGGAGGUGAGAGGGACAGACAGUCCUAAGAGACUUGGGGGAAGCUAGGGCUUUCUGUCAGGGUGCAGUGGAGUAGUGGAUGGCAGACUGAUCCGGCCAGGAGCAGGGCCUGAGGAGCAUCUGCAUUCAAGGCCAGCAGGAGAUGGGGAGCUGUAGGGAAGCAGAGCUGAAAAGGGAGCUGGGCUGUUCUCUGUGAUCUGCGGUUGCCUGGACGCUCCUGUGACCCUAAACCCAUAUUAAACCAACCUCAAGGUGG